ACACACACACACACACACAAAUAUACACACACACACACACACACACACACACACACACACACACACACAGACACACACACACAGAGAGAGAGAACGAGCUCAGUGAAUUGUCCAGGUGACACACUGAUGAGGGAGUAACAGGACACUCUGAGUUAGUGCCCUCAGGACACACAGCAUACAGUGAUCAUGAAAAGACUGUGCUCAAUAAUUUUCCAUAAAAUGUGCUCAAGUUUCCAUGCAGUCGCCAUGAGAAUACAGUUUUUGAAGUCUGGUCCACCUAC
rnacentral:lncRNA from 1 species